rnacentral:lncRNA from 1 species
CUGUUGGUGCCACAUCCCUCUCUAUUGACUACGAAGGAGUGACUACGUUAAGCUCUUCCUCCAUAUAUGGAUUGUAGGUUGCUACGUAAUUUUGAGACGUAUGUUGAGUUUAAGAUCUUAUGUUGUUUAUCACUUACUGGAUCUCUUUCUUCUUUCUUUCUUUUAUAUUUCCUUUUGACAAGGUUGUGUGUUGUUGCAUAGGCGGCUGGAAUCUAAGCUUUCUUCAUCCAAAAGAAGAUUAUGUAAAACAACCAGAAAGAAACAAAAGGGGGGCGGUUAAUCUCCUUCUAAGGGGAUUAGGGUGGGGGGAUUUUGACUGGUAGGGGAUGUUUUGUAGGAGGAUGUGCACCACAACAUAAGUAACAUGGAAUCUGUGGGUACACUUUUGGCAACAUACCUUCAAACCACAUUCUAUGCAACAAUAAUCUUGUGCAAACCAUAUAUAGCUAUGCCCACCAUUUUUAGAACAAUGUUCAAUAGACUACCAUAUGUAUAUGAACGUGCACGAUGGAUAUUAGAGACAAAACAUAGUAGUAGUAUAACUUGCACAAAACUACAUUUAUGAUCUUUUGUAUUUGAGCCAGGAAGUUCUUUCAAAAGAUAACCCACAAGAAAGCACGCACUGGUCUUGUUGUGCACUAUACGUUAGGUGUUGCAAUUGCAUAUAAUCUGUUUUAUUUAGUUAGUUUGAACAACCGUGCAUGGCUAGGCACUUCCGAAAGGCUUCACUUCAAGUAAUUGUCAAACCAGUCGAUCAUUAGACCAAGAGCUUGCUCAGCAGUUUAUAUCUACAAGCAAAUCCAUGUGCAACUCCUGGAAAGACCUUGGCGUAGUAGGGAAUCUGCAAACAACCAAUGCCACAAAAAUGAGCUUUUCCAACUGAUAUAUAGUAUCCUCUAUGACGGAAUCACUAGGAACUCACCUCUGUUCUAUGACGCAAUACACUCACAUACUGGUACACUAGUUUUGGCGGUGCGACUUCGUCAUAUUGAGCUCCAAGGAUCUCGAUUGGACAUUUAACCUCUGUUUUGAAUGGUCAUAUAGUUAGCAUACGAAAUUAAGCACUUAAGUUCAGUUCCAAAGACAUCUCAAUCGAUGCUGUCUGGGAGGUUGCAAACACAAAGAAAAGGAGCAAACCUUUCAUGUCAUCAGUAGUCACAAUGUAAGGAUGAGAAAUGGAAACUACUUUAACAUCACUGGUUUUCCCCAUCUCUACACUAAACUUUCCUGUCAGUUACGCGGCAAUAGGAGAUAAGAAUUUUAUGCUCUGUAUGUUGCCUGAAGAAGGAUUUUGGAAGCUGGAAUUUCACUCACCACCCCAGCAAUAACCUCCCACCCCGAUGGACUUUCCUUCCUUUUUGAAAGCAGCAAAGAGUGGCUUGGCGUCUUUGGCAGCUUUUACCUGCCAGAUCGAUCGGAUACUCAAAUCAAUAUAUUUUCAACUCAUGAUGCAAUGAGCAUAAGAUGAAAUUUGAAAGGGACAUGGAACAGACCUGGGAGUGGAGCUUGAUCCACUCUGAAAUGUUUUUACUUGAGUCUAAAUAAUCUCCAUUGAAGAAAUCAGGCACCACAACAAAGUAUCCAGCCUCGCUAACUUUAUCGGCUAUCUGUCUGCAUCAUUAAAAGAUCAAGAAAGGGAUGAACAAUAGCUAGUACAGAGAGGGAUUCUUGCGUCGUUGUACUCCAAACAAAAUGCAAUCUAUCUCAUAUGAGAAUUAACUUUCACUGGAUUGUCUUUUUUUUGGAAAAAAAAACUGUACUGUAUUUUACUCUGUACAGAAGCACAAAGCAUUGUUAUGUUUUUUAAAAAAAGAUAGUCAAAUAAAAUUUGCUCUAGAUCUUCAAAGUCUCUAAAAUCAUUUGUUGAUAUUUAAAAGCAGUUUGCUAUGGUUAUGAUUGCGUUGCUACUUGCUACAAGCAUCAUAAGGGAGUACUAAGCAGGAAAAAUCGAAAGCAUGCCAGCCGAAUGAUCUAGUUCUUCAAAGUCUCUAAAAUCUGGAGAGAUGCUAGUUGACCAAGAACAGAGCAUCUUGAUCUACGAUAGUAAGCCAGAGUAGAGCAAGAAAGAACACAAAAUUUGGGAAUUAAAAGACCGUAGAUAUAUUUAUGUACCUGAGUAAAGGUGCCUCGAACCCUGAGGAAAUCAAUCAAAAAGUGGAGAAAAAUUUCCUGUCAAAACGUACGCCCAAAUUGACUAGAAACUGCAUAAGUGUAGUACUACGGUCGAAACACCAACCGAAAACAUCGGAGGCGAGGACGAUGGCGCGGCUUGAGCUUGCAGCUGAAGGAUUGAAAGGGCGAUAAAAGGAGGUGAAUGGGAGCCUAUAAAAAUUCUCAACAAGAAUAAGGCCUAUGUCCCAAAUGCAACCCCAAAGCACACAGCACGUUGUAUCGUCAAGAUGACGCAAGUCAACUCGUGACAAGCUCAUCCUAGGAAUGAUACACGUAUCGAAAGCAAAGUUCAAAGUGAUCCGAAUACGUGCUUGACAUGGCGGAAACAUAAAGUGACUCACAAUCAGAUUCAAGCAAGCCCACAAAAAACUUACUCAACUAAGCAUAAUUAGCAAGAGAGAAAACACAUUAGUACUCAAGCAAGUGAACAAGUAUUAGUUGGCUAAGUGUUAGGAUUAACAGAGGAUUAGAAAAGCUAAUUUAACACCGAACAACAAUGGAUUAGAACGGUGCUAUCAGCCAUGUGCAAGAACUAAUAAUGAUUACUCAAUGAUUUGAUCACUGUAGCUAGAAAGCAACUCUUCGUGGCACGAAGGCACUACCUGCUACUUGCGUUGCUUGCCUGCUCGCUGCUUGGCUUGUCGCCGUGCUUGCGGCCUGGUCUGGCCCGCGACGCAUCAGCUACUCCUGGGUCGCAAGCUCCAGACGGCCUGCUAGCGAUCAGCACCUGGGGCAGCCUGCCAACUCGCUGGGCUGCCGGCCUGCGAAGGCUGCUGGGCCGCUGCUUGCUUCCACCGGCCCGCGUGCCGCUCGCUGUGAACGGCCUGGCAGCAAGUGUAGCGCUGCUCCGUCACCUGCGCACCCGAACAGAAGGAAACGAAGAACAGAGAGAAGAACAGCAAGAACACCCAAGAACACACGUAACUUCGAAUCGUGAGAUCUCCUUCCGCACUCCACGCAUCAAGAUGAAACUUGACCCAAGGAUGCACUACCCUAGGAAAAAUAGAUCCAUGAGACAAAUCACGAAAAUCUCAAGUAUUCAUCGCAAAUCUUAGGGAAAAUCAAAACCCUAACUCAAACUCGGUUUUGGAAGAAACUCAAAAUUCAAGUCGGAUUCGUGAGAUAUAUGGAAGGGGAUCAUAUUAAAGAAGCUCCACGAAGUCCUAGCAACAUUCCCCUUUAACCAAACUCACGAGAUUCGGGCUCCAACAAGAUGAACGAAAAUUCUCAAAAAUGAGUCCAAAAAUAGGAAAAAAGAAAAACGCUCGGGAACAAAGAUUUUGCACGAUUUGAGACAACAAACCACACUAAAUCACGAGAGCAUCUUCUUUACAAAAGAGGGCUAGCCUCCUCCCUUCAUCCACCCACUAAAAGAUGAAAAAAUCAAGAGAAAAGAGUAAUCACUCUCUAAUCUCCCUCUCUCCUCUCACUUUAAGCACAUGACUAGCCUCUAAGCCAAAAGAUAAUGAGUUGCUAAGCAAAGAGGUGCUGAAAUAACCAGCCCCCCAUCCCUAUUUAUAGUCCAGGACGAAAGACUAUACUACCACUACAGCUAUAACUAAGAUAACUACCCACGCAGGGGCAUUUUGGUCCAAGUUUUUAUCUGCGCUAAGACUAUACUACCCCUAUAGCUACAACUAAGACUAUAAUGUUUUGCUUUUCGUGGUCGAAAAGAUUAGAUAGAUAUUUUGUACUGUAGUUGCUCAUCACUCCAAUUAUGUACACUUCUUCGCGCGUUAGGUCCCGUUUGGAUACCCUGCUAAAGUUUAGCACCUGUCACAUCGGAUGUUUGGAUCCUAAUUAGGAGUAUUAAACAUAGGCUAAUUACAAAAUUAAUUGCACAUAUGGAGUCUAAUUCGCGAGAUGAAUCUAUUAAGCCUAAUUAGUUCAUGAUUUGAUAAUGUGGUGCUACAGUAACAAUUUGCUAAUGAUGGAUUAAUUAGGCUUAAUAGAUUCGUCUCGCAAAUUAGCACAGGAUUCUGCUAUUAGUUUUAUAAUUAGCUCAGGUUUAGUCCUCCUAAUUAGCAUCCGAUCAUUUGAUGUGACACUGUUAAAAUUUAGCACAUAAAUAUCCAAACACCCCCUUAUUUCAUUUUUGAUCUUGGAGUCGCCGCUGCCGACCUCGAGACUGGACUAGGGUGGCUGGCUUAAUCCCACCCUGCUGGGAUCAGCCUCCAUGGGGGCGACAGAUGCCACUGCCUAGGCAUGGUGGUGGCUGUUGCUGUAGCCCAGCGUUUGCAGGUGUACUGUGUCCCUGACAAUAUGUGUGCGCAUGCAGAUUGGCCUCUCGGAUCUAUGGAGUGCUGAUAUGUGUUGCUUGAUGGUGUUGUGUCGAGGUAGGUUUGGGAUGUGUGCUCGGAGCGAAGGCCUUUGUCCUUCGCCGGCAAACGAUGGUGGCGCCUGUUGGUGCCAUAUCCCUCUCUAUUGACAACGAAGGAGUGACUACGUUAAGCUCUUCCUCCAUAUAUGGAUUGUAGGUUACUAGGUAAUUUUGAGACGUAUGUUGAGUUUAAGAUCUUAUGUUGUUUAUCACUUGCUGGAUCACUUUCUUCUUUCUCUCUUAUAUUUCCUUCUGACAAGGUUGUGUGUACUACCUUGUUACAUAGGCUAGAAUCUAAGCUUUCUUCAUUCAAAAGAAGAUUAUAUAAAAUAACUAGAAAGAAACAAAAGGGGGCGGUUAAUCUCCUUCCAAGGGGAUUGGGGUGGGGGAGAGGGGGAUAGGGAUUUUGACUGGUAGGGAAUGUUUUGCAGGAGGAUGUGCACCUCAACAUAGGAGGCGUUUGGUUCCCUUUGCUUAUUUUGAGCACGUGUCACAUCGAAUGUUUAGAUACUAAUUAGGAGUAUUAAACAUAGACUAUUUACAAAACCCAUUACAUAAGUGGAGGCUAAAUGGCGAGACGAAUCUAUAAGCCUAAUUAAUCCAUCAUUAGCAAAUGUUUACUGUAGCAACACAUUGUUAAAUCAUGGACUAAUCAAGCUUAAUAGAUUCGUCUCGCAAUUUAGCCUCCACUUAUGUAAUGGGUUUUGUAAAUAGUCUACGUUUAAUACUCCUAUUAGUAUCUAAACAUUCGAUAUGAUGGGUGCUGAAAAUAAGCAAGAGGAACCAAACCAGGCCAUAAGUAACAUGGAAUCUAUGGAUACACUUUUGGCAACAUACCUUCAAACCACAUUCUAUGCAACAAUAAUCUUGUGCAAACCAUAUAUAACUAUGCCCACCAUUUAUAGAACAAUGUUCAAUAGACUACCAUAUGCAUAUGAACGUGCACGAUGCACUACGAGAAUGUCCAAGUUUGCCGUGUGUCCACGGCACACGACGAAGCCAAAAAAACCUCAGCAAAGCCUUUGCUGAGUGGGCAUACAUAGUGCCGGUAAAAAUUUCUUUGCUGAGUAUUUUUUAUCGGGCACUCAGCAAAGACUUUUUUUUUAAGAAACAGGAGGGGGAGACCCCUACUGAAUUUAUUAAAGAGCUAAACAACAAAAGGGUCCAAAUACAAAUCAAGACCGAGAGAUCAAAAAUAAAAUAAAAAAGCAAGAACCAAAAGUAAGAACUGGGAACAACAUUUACAGGGAAUCUACCAAGCUAACAUAAGUGACUGGAUCUGGGUCUUGGCCCUAUGAAGAGCUACCAUGCGAAAUUCCGAGACAAAUUUCCGUUUGAUGUUCCUGAUCAUCGGAGCAGAAUUAUUGAAGAGCAGACUUUGCCAGUGCUAAAAUUGACGCUCGGAAAAAAAAAGCAACAUGACAGUGCGAAAACGGUCAUGCCACGUUUGCCGAGUGUCUAAUGGCAUGGACACUCCACAUGUUUGCCGAGUGUCCACCGAAAAAAUCCUCGACAAACAUGAGUCAUUUUAGACUUUAGGCACAAUUUCCUAAAGGAACACCAGAAAUUUCACAUAAAUUUUCACAUUAGCUGUGUAAAUAAUAGCAAAGUUCUUGCAAGGUGACCAUACUUGCAAGGUAUGCUCGUACAAGUUCAAAUUUGUUGUAAAUCUGCAGUUACAGUCCGAACAUAUAAUGACCUGAACAGCAAAAAGAUCUGCCUCGACAGCACCAGGGGAGGUGGGAGCUCACUCUUUACUGCUUAGCCUAAAUUUCAUAUAUUCCAGUAUAUUUUUUUUAUGGAAGAGGUAACAAUUUUCUUGUGGGAGAUUGUUAGUACAACUGAGCUAAUGGCAUCAUGCACGGUAGAAAAAACGGGGGGCCCUGGCGUGGCGUCCCUGUAGGAAAUGGGGAACGUGUGCCACGCCACACAUGCACGCGUGCGUGCUUAAUUUCAAGGGAAUCAAAUUCUGCACUCGUCCGGCUAGUCUCACUCUCACACCCGACCAUCAUCAGCGAACUAAUGAAGCGAACUUUUCAAGGCCACGCACAUGUAUAAACCGCUUGAGAACACACUUGUACUAAUGAGUUCUCUGUCACAUGAUCCAACAGAUGGUGAUCUCGGCCACGACGAACGACGAUACGAUACACUCGCUACGGUACUACCUGCAGAGAUUCUUGACCUGCUGCCAUUCGUUUCUCGCGCUGGCACGCAGCCUGGUCGUGAUCCUGUGUGCUUUUGCUUGCAGAUGGCGGUUUGAGAUCCUGGAGAUCCAAAUCCUCUCCGCGAUUCUGGUAGUCGUAGGGAGGCUCAGGCUCGCGCGCGCGCGGGGCCUCGCCUCGCACGCCCCUCGAAGCGCGCACGCCAUUGUUGCGUCCCCGCGACUUCCACCGCAGGCAGGAGGGAGAGGGACCGAGGGAGUAGUGCCUGCACCAACUCCCUGGGGGCCGCGGCCAACCGCAGCGCGACGUGUGUCCACUCCGACACGGCGGGCGGGGAGGAGUAAAGAAACCGGGCAGCGCGGGCCACGACCCCACGAAACACCGACGAUUAGUUUAGGUCUUGUUGGAAGUGCCAAAUUAUUGUUACAGUACUGUAUCAUACUGUAGUAUUUCAUUUGUAUUUAUGAAUUAUUGUCCAAACAUUGACUAAUUAGUUUUAAAAGAUUCGUCUCGCAAAGUACAACAAAACUGUGCAAUUAGUUUUUAAUUUCGUCUACAUUUAGUACUUCAUGCAUGUACCGCAAGUUUGAUAUGAUAGGGAAUCUUUUUUUUGCAUAGUGUCAAAGUUGGCAGUGGAGGGUGAACUAAACAAGGGCUUAUAUGCGGCCGCUACGCUACGUACUCCAGCCGGGACAGAAGGAAUCCGGCCACACCUUCAAAAAAAAAAACCAGGAACCCGGGCACCGAGCGAGCCCUUGACCAAGUCCACGCGGUCCAGACAAGCCCACUGGCCAUUGGAAAAUUCGACCCCACAGGAAAUCCUAAGCGAUGUAAUCAUCCAUAUGUGGGUCCAAGACAUGAUUUUUUUGGCUGUGAACACUGCACAGCAACUCGCGAGAAUCUUUUCCCUCAGCCUUUUUUAUCUGUAGGUUUUGGGAGCACCGAGAGGAGGAAAAAUUGGCUUAAGAUGGAGUUGUUAUUGGGUAUGCGGAAAAGUAGGGAACGAAGUUGGACAACUGUUGGAGCUUUGGUUUUUCACCUUGGUUACCAAAACUAGUCAUUGAAAUCAUAUACCGGGCACUCUUGGAGAUGCUAUAACUGAUGAUCUAGUACAUAUAUCUUGAACAUUAUUUUUUUUUAAAAUCUGGUCGGUAGCAGUUAAACUAAUUGUCUAAACCAAUUAUCUAGUACCUAAACCAAUUAUUGUCUCGACCACCUAAACUAAUUGUUGUCUCUUGCACUGUAUCUUCCAGAUGGUAAAAGUAAAUAAAAAAAAUGAAAAUCGGGGUUGGUGGGGUAAAGUGCUCAUGAGACAAAGAGCAUCGUGGGAGGUGAGGCCGUGCUUUACAAAGCACUUUCUCGGGUCGUUCGCAUCUACGACUGUGAGGCCCUGAGAAUUGAAGCGCCCUUCCUCUCUGACACCACCACAAGCUAGCAGAGCUGUAGAGCCAGCUUCCCAGUCGAGAUGGCCGAACUGAUGGCGAGCGCCGCCACGAGCGUGAUGGGGUCCGUCAUCGGCAAGCUGACUGCCAUGCUCGGCGACAAGUACCAGUUCGCCAGAGACGUGGAGCAAGGGAUCCGCUUCCUGAAGGAUGAGCUGAGCAGCAUGGAUGCCGUGCUGCAGAAGCUCGCAGACAAGGACGACGACCAAAUGGAUCCAAUGGAUAAAGAUUGGAGGAACAAGGUGCGUGAGCUAUCCUUCGAUAUUGAGGAUUGCGUCGAUCGCUUCAUGCUCAAUCACAGCCAUGGAGGUUCCAAGGCUAACUUUGUUCGCAAAGCCGUGCGUAAGGUGAAGAUGUUGUGGGAGGACCAGGGCAUAGCAGGGGAGAUCCAAAAACUCAAGAAACUCGUGACAGAGCAGAGUGACCGGGCCAAACGCUACCCUGUGGGAAUGCGGUGCGACUCACCUCAGCCGGUGCGCUUGGAUCCUCGAGCAACUGCCCUCUUUUCAGGAGGCGAGGGAUCCUGUGGGAAUUGAUGGUCCUCGCGAGGAAAUCAUCCAGCUAUUACAAGUUGAAGAAAAGCAGCACAAGGUGGUGUCCAUCUAUGGUACCGCUGGGCAGGGGAAGACUACUCUAGCCAUGGAGGUAUACCGAAAAAUCCCACAAGCAUUUGAUUGCAGGGCUUUCGUGUCUGUAUCUCAGACUCUGGACCUGAAGAAGCUACUCAGAGAUAUAUUGUCUCAAAUAGUAAGCAAGAGCGAGUUUGACCAGUUGCAGUCGGAAAGGUGGGAGACGGAGCAGCUCAUGCGCGAAAUGAUAGACUACUUAAUUGGCAAGACCAGAAUUACUUUCUUGUACUAUAAUAAUUAGCCAGUUCAUCUAGCUAUGGCAAUGUUGUGAGGUCUUUGUCGAUCACAUGAGCUCACCUAAUUUAUCGGCCAUUUUACGGUUGUAUUUUACGGACCCAUUCGAGCAUAAAACUACCACAUAUGCAUUUGUUACAUGACUUCAGCUGUUCAACAUAUCUACCAAAAGCCAUCGCUAAAUAUCUUACAACAAGGUCAAGUCAACUGCCCAUGAAUGUAGGCGUAUGUGGUUGGAGUUGGCCUGUACUAUUGUGCGCAAAUGAUAUUUGAGUAGAAAAUUAUUUACUCUAUACCAUCAAAUAAUUCCAGAUUCAGUAAAAUUAUUUCUUGAUAACUUCAACCAUGUUUGUUUCGUAUAGCCAUUCUAAAUAUCCAUAAAAAUCUUCUUUAAUCCGUCUCUUUACUUUUCUCCAAUAUCUUUCACCAUGAUAUGCUCUAUAUGUUGAAUAGUUAUGAUGGCCUCGUAACAUGAUUCCUCAACCAAUGCAUGCAGGUACUUCAUCUUGAUUGAUGAUAUCUGGAAUGUAUCAGAUUGGGAGCUUGUACAAGCUGCCUUACCUCGCAAUGACAACGGAAGCAGAAUAAUUACUACAACACGCAGUAAAACAGUAGCCAAAACAUGUGCUGGUACUGAUGCACAAAUGUACAAAGCAAAGCCACUUGGUGAUGACGAUUCUCGCAGAUUAUUCUUUAAAAGGCUAUUUCACUCAACUGAACAUUGUCCCCAAGAUUUGAUGGCAGUAUCCAGUGAUAUUUUGAGGAAAUGUGGGGGAUUACCAUUAGCCAUAAUCAGUAUAGCUGGUUUAUUAGCAAACAGAAGCAAAACCAAGGAAGUCUGGGUCAAUGCAUUGAAGUAUAUUUCUGCGGCAGUUGACAAAGAUUCUCACAUUGAUAAAAUGAAAAGAAUUUUUCUGCUUAGUUACUUUGACCUUCCUCUUUAUCUAAGGAGCUGUAUGUUAUAUCUGAGCGUGUUUCCGGAGGAUUAUUUGAUUGAUUGUAGACGGUUGAUAUUGUUAUGGGUAGCCGAAGGACUGAUUCCUGGACAAGGCAGAGAAAAUAUGGAGCAGCUUGGGAGGAGUUACUUGAAUGAGCUGAUCAAUAGAAGCUUGGUCCAACCAACCAAGGUUUGGGCAGAUGGCGCAACAGUUAAAGAGUGCAGGGUUCAUGAUGUCAUACUUGAGUUUAUUGUAUCAAAGGCUGUGGAGGACAAUUUUGUUACUAUAUGGAAUCGUAAUGGGUUUUCUGAAAAUUAUUCUUCCAACAAGAUUCGCCGUUUAUCUAUCCAACAUGACAUUUCUAGGCGGGCUGAAGAGAUGGUGAAGAUAAAAGAACAUGCAGCUCAUAUUCGAUCAAUUAAUAUUUUUGACCCUAAUUCAGUGCUGCUAAUUAAAAACACCUCUAUAUUUUUAAGUAGCCAAGUCUUGCGAGUGCUGAAUAUAGAAGAUCAUGUUUGGGAGGAGUUAGUUGAAGAUUACUGCUAUUUAGGACAUGUCAAAAGUUUUUGUCAAAUGAAGUACUUGAGGUUAAAAAUUUGGAUAUCACUAUGGUUCGAACUCCCAAAAGAUAUAGAAAAGCUGCAACAUCUAGAGACACUAGAUCUUAGGGGUACCUGCAUUGAAAAACUACCGGCUAGCAUUACCCAACUGCAGAGAUUAGUGCGUCUUCUUGUCAGUAUUGAGGUAAAACUACCUGAUGGGAUUGGAAAUCUGCAGGCAUUGGAAGAGCUAUCAUCGAUCAGUUUGGAUUUUCAAACUGUCAAGUUUAUCCAAGGGCUCGGCGAUCUGACCAAUCUGAAGGUACUUGGAAUUAAUUGGAAGCACACUUAUGCAGGAGUACGUCGCGUGGACGUGGAAGACCACAAGGAAGCAUGUAUCUUGUCACUCUCCAAGCUUGUCACAACCCUUCGAGAACUGCAAUUCAUGCAUGAUGUUCCUGAUGACGCACUUUCAUUCAUGGCUUCGUUUGCCUCAUCUUUAACUCCACCACCCCUUCGGAGGCUCGUCUUUCACGAAGGUGGUGGAUCAAGUGUCGUGCCCCAUCAAAUCAUCAGCUCGCUAGUCAACCUGACCCACCUCAAUAUUGGACUAGUAAGCCAGGAAGGGAUAAAUAUCCUAGCAAGUUUGCCCAUGCUCCUCUCUAUUACUGUUCGCGUUUCCUUUGAAGAGGGUAGUUCUGGAAUCAGGUAUACAAUCAGCAGUCAAGGAUUCCAGCGUUUAGUCAAGUUUAAUUUCGACUGUUUUCAUGAUGGGGGGGGCGUUGGAGUUUGAGCCAGGAGCCAUGCCAAAGCUCCAAAGGCUCGAGCUGUACCUGGUGGCACGGGGUCAGUUCAAUUAUGAGCAAGGCGCCCUCGUCCUUGGGCUGCAGAAUCUGGCAAGCCUCAGACAUGUUGCUCUUGGUAUUAACUGUUAUCCAGCUACUCCUGAUGAGGUGCAGGAUUUGGAGGAUGACAUCAGGGUUGCAGCAGGCGCCCAUCCCAACCGUCCCGUGGUCCAGCUGGUCGGAAAACUAAAUGAACAUUGGAUGACUUAGGGUGCAGCAGGCACCCAGCUACCUAGAAGCACAAUGACCAAGUAAAUGCAUGGUGUGGAGAAUAAAUAUCAUUAUCAAUGAUGAUCUUUUUUUCUGUUUCAAGAGCACGUUGGAAUUAAACAAGGUUAAUUCGAUUUGUUUUCAUCUUAGUUUUUGCUUUAUGACAACAUGUGUGCGCAUGCAGAUUGGCCUCUCGAAUCUAUGGAGUGCUGAUAUGUGUUGCUUGAUAUGAUGGUGUUGUGUUGAGGUGGGUUUGGGAUGUGUGCUCGGAGCGAAGGCAUUUGCCCUUCGCCGGGCCAACGAUGCUGACGCCUGUUGGUGCCACAUCCCUCUCUAUUGACUAUGAAGGACUGACUACGUUAAGCUCUUCCUCCAUAUAUGGAUUGUAGGUUGCUAGGUAGUUUUGAGACGUAUGUUGAUUUUAAAAUCUUAUGUUGUUUAUCACUUACUGGAUCUGUUUCUUCUUUCUUUCUUUUAUAUUUCCUUUUGAUAAGGUUGUGUGUUGUUGCAUAGGUGGCUGGAAUCUAAGCUUUGUUCAUCCAAAAGAAGAUGAUAUAAAACAACCAGAAAGAAACAAGGGGGGGGGGGGGGCGGUUAAUCUCCUUCCAAGGGGAUUGGAGGGGAUUUUGACUGGUAUGGGAUGUUUUGCAGGAGGAUGUGCACCUCAACAUAAGUAAUAUGGAAUCUGUGGGUACACUUUUGGCAACAUAUCUUCAAACCACAUUCUAUGCAACAAUAAUCUUGUGCAAACCAUACAUAGCUAUGCCCACCAUUUCUAGAACGAUGUUCAAUAGACUACCAUAUGCAUAUGAACGCGCACGAUGGAUAUUAGACACAAAACAUAGUAGUAGUAUAACUUGCACAAAACUACAUUUAUGAUCUUUUGUAUUUGAGCCAGGAAGUUCUUUCAAAACAUAACCCACAAGAAAGCACGCACUGGUCUUGUUGUGCACUACACGUUAGGUGUUGCAAUUGCAUAUAAUCUCUUUUAUUUAUUUAGUUUGAACAACCGUGCAUGGCUAGGCACUUCCGAAAGUCUUCACUUCAAGUACUUGUCAAACCAGUCCAUCAUUAGACCAAGAGCUUGCUCAACAGUUUUGACAGCAAAAGGGUCGGUGGUAUUAUAUCUGCAAGCAAAUCCAUGUGCAACUCCUGGAAAGACCUUGGCGUAGUAGGGAAUCUGCAAACAACCAAUGCCACAAAAAUGAGCUUUUCCAACUGAUAUAUAGUAUCCUCUAUGACGGAAUCACUAGGAACUCACCUCUGUUCUAUGACGCAAUACACUCACAUACUGGUACACUAGUUUUGGCGGUGCGACUUCGUCAUAUUGAGCUCCAAGGAUCUCGAUUGGACAUUUAACCUCUGUUUUGAAUGGUCAUAUAGUUAGCAUACGAAAUUAAGCACUUAAGUUCAGUUCCAAAGACAUCUCAAUCGAUGCUGUCUGGGAGGUUGCAAACACAAAGAAAAGGAGCAAACCUUUCAUGUCAUCAGUAGUCACAAUGUAAGGAUGAGAAAUGGAAACUACUUUAACAUCACUGGUUUUCCCCAUCUCUACACUAAACUUUCCUGUCAGUUACGCGGCAAUAGGAGAUAAGAAUUUUAUGCUCUGUAUGUUGCCUGAAGAAGGAUUUUGGAAGCUGGAAUUUCACUCACCACCCCAGCAAUAACCUCCCACCCCGAUGGACUUUCCUUCCUUUUUGAAAGCAGCAAAGAGUGGCUUGGCGUCUUUGGCAGCUUUUACCUGCCAGAUCGAUCGGAUACUCAAAUCAAUAUAUUUUCAACUCAUGAUGCAAUGAGCAUAAGAUGAAAUUUGAAAGGGACAUGGAACAGACCUGGGAGUGGAGCUUGAUCCACUCUGAAAUGUUUUUACUUGAGUCUAAAUAAUCUCCAUUGAAGAAAUCAGGCACCACAACAAAGUAUCCAGCCUCGCUAACUUUAUCGGCUAUCUGUCUGCAUCAUUAAAAGAUCAAGAAAGGGAUGAACAAUAGCUAGUACAGAGAGGGAUUCUUGCGUCGUUGUACUCCAAACAAAAUGCAAUCUAUCUCAUAUGAGAAUUAACUUUCACCGGAUUGUCUUUUUUGGGAAAAAAAAACUGUACUGUAUUUUACUCUGUACAGAAGCACAAAGCAUUGUUAUGUUUUUUAAAAAAAGAUAGUCAAAUAAAAUUUGCUCUAGUUCUUCAAAGUCUCUAAAAUCAUCUGUUGAUAUUUAAAAGCAUUUUGCUAUGGUUAUGAUUGCGUUGCUACUUGCUACAAGCAUCAUAAGGGAGUACUAAGCAGGAAAAAUCGAAAGCAUGCCAGCCGAAUGAUCUAGUUCUUCAAAGUCUCUAAAAUCUGGAGAGAUGCUAGUUGACCAAGAACAGAGCAUUUUGAUCUACGAUAGUAAGCCAGAGUAGAGCAAGAAAGAACACAAAAUUUGGGAAUUAAAAGACCGUAGAUAUAUUUAUGUAGGUGCCUCGAAUCCUGAGAAAAUCAAUCAAAAAGUGGAGAAAAAUUUCCUGUCAAAACGUACGCCCAAAUUGACUAGAAACUGCAGAAGUGUAGUACUACGGUCGAAACACCAACCGAAAACAUCGGAGGCGAGGACGAUGGCGUGGCUUGAGCUUGCGGCUGAAGGACCGAAAGGGCGAUCAGAGGGGGGUGAAUGGGAACCUAUAAAAAUUCUCAACAAGAACAAGGCCUAUGUCCCAAAUACAACCCCAAAGCACACAACACGUUGUAUCGUCAAGAUGACGCAAGUCAACUCGUGACAAGCUCACCCUAGGAACGAUACACGUAUCAUAUCAUGACAAAUCUCAUGAUUUUCAGACUUUGCUUGCUUUUUUUACAAUUUAAAAAUCAUUCGGUCACACGUUCGUGAUCGUGUUUCCUGAACAAGAUGUUUGAAAUUUCUUUUUAUUUCAUGGGUCAGGUCUCAAAUUGGGUUAAAUAAUAUGAAUAUCAUUUUUCUACUCAUUUUAUUCUAUAAUUUGAAUCACUUGCAGUUCAAAUUUGACUUAUACCAAAAAUUUCCUUUAAAUACAAUUAAUUAAUUAAAUAUAGCAAACAAAUUCAAAAAUAUACCAAAUUUUAACAUGGAGUACCACAUGUUGUAUGUGGGGAGUAGAAAAAAUCUCAAGGUUAAAAGGGAAAAAAAACUUAUUAUUUGUCGAGUGUCAAAAAAACACUCGGCAAACCCCCCUCUUUGCUGAGUGUUUUUUUCUUGACACUCGGCAAAGUCCCUCUUUGCCGAGUGUUUUUUUUUGACACUCAGCAAAGCUCCUUGUUUGCCAAGUGUUUUUUCUUUGCCGAGUGUUUUUAGCUUGGCACUCGGCAAAGAGCUUGUUGCCGAGUGUCGAAAAAAACACUCGGUAAAUUUGCGGUUUCCGUAGCGAGAGUAGUUUACAAAAUCAGGCAUCAUGACGCAACAAUCAAUGAAAAUCAAGAAGCAGAAAUAUGACAGUUAUUUUGAGUAGUUUUUAACAUGAUCAUCUAAAGUUUGUCUCUUUCAUUGGCAUAGUUGGCCACUUCCUCGUCCGAGGCCACCAUUGAUCAUGCAUUCAUGCCUAGGGAAAUCCGGCCCAAGUGUACAGUCCAAUAGCCCAUAUGCAAAGAAAAUCCGAAUCGACUAAACCUACUGCGAUCCUAGCCGCCUCCGAUCUCCGAGAGGAUCCUCAGCAUGUUGCUGCACUGUUUGUAAGGGCGCUUUGCUUCACCCUACGGGUUUGGUGCAUAAUUCUCGAGCUGCAAUGUUCAAGUUUGCACAAAGAACGAGCACAUAUGCGAUGUAGCGGGGUGUGUAUUCACCUUAAAUAGAGGGCAUAUUUUAAAGUGUGUGGGAUCCAAUAUUGGUCAACUUGACAAGAACAGAUAUUCACUGCUGUGCAAAUUUUUUCCAUCUGGAUGUACGAAAAUAUUAUUCUUAUUUAUUUAUUCGAAACAGUCAUGUGCAGAUAAGACAUGUCUUCACUACAAGUAUUUGUGGAACCAGUCGAGCAUGUAAGCAAGAGCUUUUUCAGCGCUUUUAACAGCGAACGGGUCGGUGGUAUUGUAUCUGCAAGCAAAUCCAUGGGCAACUCUUGGGAAGAUCUUGACAAAGUACUCAAUCUGCAAGAGAGGUAAUGUCAUAUAAACGGGUGAGGUUCUGCCAAGAAAAAUUCACAUGUGCAGGUGCAUUGGUAUUGAGUGCCACUAAACCCAGCAAGAAGCCAAGAAACUCACAUCCAUUCUUUCACGCAAUUCUUGCUCGAACUGACGCACUUGUUCCUGCGGUGUGAUUGUGUCGUUUUGAGCUCCAAGGAUCUCAAUUGGCCAUUUGACCUCUGAGUUUUAAGUGAGCGCAGUUAGCACACGAACAGAAUACUAGUCAUACACAGUGUGCCUAAUAAGUAUGGUAAGAAACACACACCUUUCAUAUCAUCAACAGUCACAUAUGCAGGAUGAGAAAGGACAACUACUUCUGUAUCGUCAGUUUUUGCUAUCUCGGCGGCAAAUUUUCCUGGCAAAUAAUCAGAAAAAAGGUAGAAAUUAGCAUGUUUUAUGUCUUGCCUGAAGAAGAAUAUUGAAAAAUAAAAUUCCAGUAGGGCCAAGCUACUGAAUUGUAGUGAUUGCUGUCGAUUUCACUCACCCCCCCAGCAGUAACCUCCAACCCCAAUAGAUUUUCCUUCGUUUCUCAAAGAAGCCAAGAGUGGCUUGGCAUCUUGAGCAGCUGUGACCUGUAGGAUCGAUCGACAUUGCAAUCAAUUUAUUUGCAACUAAUGAUGCAAUGCAAGAUUUUGUUAAAGAUUCGUUAUGUUAUCAUUUGACUAGAAAUUGAAAUUAAUUAUCCCCGGUGAACAUGAACUUACUGGGGAGUGAGAUUUGAUCCAUUCUGAAAGGAUUUUACUGUCGUUGUAAGGAUCGCCGUGGAAGAAAUCAGGCACCACAACGUAGUAUCCUGUUGCGGCAACUUUAUCGGCUAUGUUUCUGCAUUAUUACACAAGCACUGGUACUAAUUAUAUUUUAACUAGCGAACAAGGCUGAAGUGCCAUGUCAUUUUAGUUUCUAAAACAGAGCCGAACAUCGUUUAAACAACUAAAUUAAAGUAGAUUGCCGCGGUAACGGCCUCUCUGCUGCUUUGGUCAGGGAUUUAUUUACUGGUAACUGGUUUAAAUUACUAGAAGUUUGAGCUGAAAUCAUUUUGAAAUAAAAUUGGGCCUAUUUUCUCGGUUUGUAAGUGUUUCUGAGAGGCAAAGCAAGCUGCCAUGUUUGAUGACAGACCUAUCCAUACCAGAACUACAAUCAAGUCUUCCAAAAGGCUAAAACUUCAUGUUUCCAGUCAUUAGUGCAAUAUAGUGUUUCAAUAAUGUGAGUGUAAGUAGAAAUAUAAAAAAAAACCAUACAUUGCCCAAACAAAAAACUCCAGUUCAUCAAGCUGAAAACAGCUGACUACACCAUGGAGCUUCCUAUGUGUUUUACUAGUUUUUGGGAAGCAAGGAUAUCCCUGUGUAUAAUCUCUUUAUACUUGUUAUUAAGUCACAAAAGUUUCAUCUUAAUGUUUCUAUCUGAUUCUAUUUCCAUCUUGUUUUUAAAUAAAAAAUCUCAUGUUCUACCAUGUUUCAGGAAAGGAAACGUUCACUUAUCAACUCUUAACUAUUGCCAUGCUCUGUUUUUCAUCUCAUUGUGCCUGUCCGGUUUUCAAUCUCCAACUUUAAAACUUUCUAAAAGACUACCUUCAACUCAGAACAAAACCAGGGUGCUUUUGGAUGAUGUGGCCUGGUUUUGUCUGCUGGUGUAUGCAUGUGUACAAGUAGUACACUGAUCAGUACAAAACAGCAAGCAAAAUACAAUAACUGCUGGGACAAUAUAAUAUAACAUCCUCUAAUUUCCCUUCUUCCACCUCUCUCUCCCCCUCAAAUUAAUUUUUUAGCAACUUCGUUCAUCAGCAUACUAGGAUUCCAUCAUUUCUUUGGGAAUCGCGUUGUUUCCUAUAUUUUUGUGCUGUAUUAGAAAUCGUAAGGAACUUGAAUUCAAGAACUUAAAACCAUUUUUUAUACCUCAGUAUAGGUGCCUCGAACCCUGAAGAAUAUUUGUCGAAAGAACAGAGAAUAUAUUUCAGUCAGACAAACCACAAAAAUAACCAUCAACCAAACUGAACGUAAAUUUGCACUAGAGGAGUGUGAAGCUGGCCGGCUGGACCAACCGUAGACAUCCGAGGCGAGGACGAUGGCACGUAUGGACAUGGAGGGGCCGGUGACAUAGGCCCUGAACCCCCCUGGAAGGUCGUCUACAACCUUGCCAGCUUCAACGCCGCGCAACGACAGGUCCGGCGGGUUGUCGAGGCACUGCGAGUGCUCGUCGUGAACGGUCGCCGCCGCGACUAGCACCACGGCGAGGCAGAGGAAGAGCAGUGCGGCGGAGCUCAUGGCGCUUCGACAGGAGGUUCUCUUGCUAGGUUGUCUCCACCGCUGCUGCGUUGCGUUUGUUUAUAUAGCACGAGGGCCGACGGCAUGGUAGGCUAGGUUGCCUCCACGUCGCCGUCCGGCGGCCGGCUGCUUUUUCUACACGAAAGCGAGCGGAACGGAAGCUGAAAGCGCUCGAUGAAUUUGAGUGAAAUACUCCAUGUGGUAUCUCUGGUGUACAGUUCAUGUACUACCACUAGCCUUUAUAAGCCCUCCUGUAGUUCUGCUCUUAGGUGGUCCAUUAAGCAAAGGAUUUGAGCCCUUGGACGCGAAGCUCCUCGCCGAUCUAUCUCUUGUUUCUACGGCAAAAGUACAUGGAAGGCUAUAACUUUGGCCGUGAUUAGGACAUCAAUAUGAGUUCUGACUUUAGGUCGUCUGACAAAAAAUAUGAGGAAUUUUUGUAAGAGGGGGUGUUUGGUUUCUCGAGCUAAAGUUUAGUUCGUGUCACAUCGAAUAUUCGGAGGCUAAUUAGGAGAACUAAAUAUAAGUUAAUUAUAAAACUAAUUGCACGUAUAGAGGCUAAACGACGAGAUGAAUCUAUUAAGCCUAAUUAAUCCAUCAUUAAAGCAACACAUUGUCAAAUCAUGGACUAAUAAGCUUAAUAGAUUCGUCUCGCCGUUUAGCCUCCACUUAUGUAAUGGGUUUUGUAAAUAGUCUACGUUUAAUACUUCUAAUUAGUAUCUAAACAUUCGACGUGACGGAGGCUGAAGUUUAGGGUGAGGAGCCAAAAACCCCGGAAGUUUAUGGUUCGUUCGUUGACAUUUGUGGCAAUGCUGUCCUUCCAGGCACAUUGACAUUUAUAUUUCGUACAUAACUAGCAAGAUGGAGAUGGCCCGACGCAAUCUGUGUGGCUAGUUUUAGUACCCUUCAAUGCAAAUUCUCAUUUUUUUCCUCAAGCCAAAUUAAGUAAAAUUUAUUCGAAAACAAUUACACAAAAGGUGCAGUCCCAAUGAAUUCAUGCCGUAAGAAACGAUUUCUCGCGCAGCUUCUGUUUGGCAACUUCCGAUGCCCAUCAGCACAAUGUUGAGUCUACGGCGCGCGCUGCAGCGCCCCGCGGCGCACGACGCGGAGGGUGGGUCUCAUGUGACCCCUAUUUUAAGUACAGGGCUGGAUACCGAGACGUAUCUGACAUGAAAGUUAUAUCACAGGACGGGCAUAGUCUACGUAAUAAGAUAGUAACUUGUCGAGGAUCAGGAAAAGUACUUGUAGCAAUCAGAGUAGGACUCGCCUAGUCGAAUCCGACUAGUAUUCAUGUAAACAAUUGACCUUAACCCUGCCCCCAGCAAUAUAAGGCGAGGUAGGGAUCCUCUCUAAAGUAAUUCAAUCCAAUCAACACACAGGAUGUAGGGUAUUAUGCAAUCUAGCGGUCCGAACCUAUUUAAAUCGUGUGUCUGUGUUCACUUUCGAGUUCCUAAUCUCGGCGAGCCCCGUUAACUAAAACACUACUUCGGGCACCCCCUCGGUGGGUUGCCGGGUCUAAACACCGACAACCCCACCAUGUGCUGGCCCACGCAUUUUUUUUUCUUUUCAAUUAUUUUUUCUAUACCAAAUAAAUAUUGUAUAUACAUAUAAAUUUUGCAUAAUUUUUUUAACAACAUUCUCUCAAAAGUUAUGACAAAUAUUAUGCGUAUAAGUUAUGUAUAUCAUGAAAGUUGUAUUACGAAAUUUAUCACCUAAAUUGUUGUUAUGAAAAAAGUUAUGCGUACAAAUUGUGCAUAUAGGUUACAGCUUUCUAAAAACACUAGGAUCGUGCCAGUGCGUUACUACGGGCAACAAAUAUUUAUAUUGAAAUACACAUAGUAACUUGCAACAUCAAUCCAAAACAAGACAUUCAACACUCCAUUUAUGGGUUUAACGUACUUUCCAAUUAUAUUGUUCUGUUAUAGUCUCAGCUGUGAAUUUAAUGAGCUAGAAAUCAAGCUUUCUUUUAAGUUUCACGGAUUUCAGACCGAGUUGAGUUGGACUACCUUUUGCUCAAACUGUGAUUGUCCCUAUAAAUUAUUUUAAUUAAUCUGUUUGAUAUGCAACUCAAAAGAAUAGAGCUAAUAUAUGUACUUAGCAUGGCCAUCCUGUUAAACAUAAUUGUUGCCAUGAAAAUAAUGCAUUAUGUAUUACUCCCUAGCUACUUUGUAGUGGUCAAUAUCAAAUAUCUUCUUGACGACCUGACAGACUAAGUGGCCAGAUGGGAUGAUCUUCAGUCCAUCCGACAACGAAAUUUUAGAUCUAUUGCCAUUAGCAAUAUAUAGGCUUGGCAUAUCUCAUGCAUUCACAAAGAAAUCUGGACUGUAUAAGAGUACCUUCCUUGAAUGAUCCACUGAGCGAUUAUUACUUGUGCCAUGCAUUCACAAAGAAAUCUGGACUGUAUAAGAGUACCUUCCUUGAAUGAUCAUUACUUGUUCAACCUGCUUAAAGAAAAUGAUUAUUUGGCCUAACAGUAAGGUUACAACACGAAAAUAAAGCUAACAAGUUGGAGGUAAAUUCAGUUAGGAAAUUUGAGAUGCCGUAGAUUUAGGUAAUUGUAAACUGAUCAAUCCUCAGGUUGGAGACAACUACUGUGCAAUUCAGGUAAUUGUAAACUGAUCAACUACCAAUUGUUCAGAUGCCGCAGAGGUCCAUCUAGCAGUCAGGUAUUUUAGUCCAUCUGACCACAAGAAUGAAACUCACCUGGAGCCCUGGGUGACAGCGUCCCCGUUCUCGUGCUCCUGGCGGCACGCCGACAGGGUGGCGUAGGCGUUCACCUCUUGACCAGCGCGCUAGGCCUUGACCUCUUGAUGUUCAAUAUCUAGGUCUGACUGUAAAAAAGAUCAAUAGAUAUAUUAGAUAUAUCGGUGUUGUCAUUACAUUACAAUGGUAAUCUGAUACCUUACAUGCAUACUCUGACAUGUAGUUUGUAGCAUUAGGCUUAUAAUAGUUCUCCAUCAAUAUUAGUGGGUCAUAAAACUGAUAAAAAUGGAGAUUAAGGAGUACUGCACACUAUCUUCAGUAUAUAUAAAGAACAUGAUAAUCUGAAACUUCCCAACUGAACAUCAUCGCUGACUGAUCAAGUUCGUUACUGAAUCAUAAACUAUGAAUGUGAGGCCUGUGUCUCUGAAGCAAGAUCGCUACACAUCAUUGCUGGCUGAAACCAGUCAAUCAACAGAGUCUAGCACAUGGGAAAAAAAAAGCAAAGAGUAAUAACUUGGUGAAUAACAAAACAUCGUCAGAAAAGAAGAAAAGAAAAAGGAGCGGAUGAAAUUCUUAGCAGAACAAUAUAAUGUAUGGAAUACUCCAUCAGUGUACUUUCAUCAUGGUCGACAUGUUCAAUACAUAAGCAUUUCCAUGUCUCGAUUUUAUCAGUCUAGCUCGUAUUUCACUCACAUAAGGGGAUUUUUUACCAAGCAAAAGCAGCAAAAGACCAUGAAACCUUAUUAUUACUGACAGGAUAUGAAAAUACCAUAUGUAUGUGGGGAAAAGGAUGCAGACUCCAAAUUGGUCCCUGCCAUGAGCUGUGUAGCCACCCAGCCAUCCCCAUAUAUUUUCUUCAGGUUUGAACACAAUACUGGUUGCUGCACUUCCCAGGAUGGGUACUUGUGGAGGCCAUGCUAAUUAGCGAUCAAUACCUGUUGCCUGCACGAACAUAAUCCCAAGCUUUAAAAAUGAUAUUUUCAUAAAAUUGAGUCAGAAGCAGGUCUAUAUAAAAAAUGUGUAACUGACGUACAAGUGAUUUGCUUGGCUAAUGCAGGGAGCCCAUGUAUGAUAGCGAAACAAAAUUAUAGCACUUUGGAAUUGUGCGUUACAAUACAUGAAAAACAAUUAUAGUACAUGCUCAUGCCUUCAUCGAAGACAUUCUCGUGCCACUUAGUUUUUUUAGGAGAGAUUGAAAGCACUAAGAAUAUUUUUCACAAAGUUUAGUACUUAAAACUUCCAAUUGAUAAAUUUCAGCAAUCUUGGUAACAAUCGCUCUUCCAAAUACUAUUGUACUGUUAGUUGACCAUUGUGCCCUAAUAGUUAAACUUCCCCAUAAGACCAUAGUAACAGCAAGUAAAUAAACAUGCAUGUAAUCUUUCAUUGUGGCCAAAACUCCUUGAAUUCUUAAAAAAAUGAUUGGCUCUGAUGUCACACCCGGUUUUAAAACAAAACCAAGUGCUAUCUAUAUGUAUGUCAGGAUCUAGUUUCAUAUAUUGUAACAUCAUUAGUGAAUAACAACAACAGUAUCACGUAAAAAGAUAAAAAAAAAGACUUACAAGACUAUCAGAGACACACAGCUUAAAUAUUGGAAACGUAGGCUCCAAACUUCACAGGCACUCAACUGGGGGUUGCGUACGCCUAGAACUCAGCACCAUCUUCACAAUGACUUCAUAGCAGCUUCAUCUUCUAAGCAACGUUGAUUAUAGCAAGGGUGAGCACAUGUCGUACUUAACAAGUGUGGGGAAGAUAUGAAUGCAAGGUUUAAACAAGGAAAGGCUGACUGGUUGACUGCAUUAAGCAUUUUUAGUUGGUCAAAUUUUAUUAGCACCUGAUUACUAAGGUAUAAGUAUGUACCAACCCACAAUUAAGCAUAAAGCACCAACAUUAUCCAAGGAACCAUAAUUUAUUCUCAUCUUUAAGUUCAAUUAUCAUGUGAGGGUCCAGGCCAUUCUUAACUGUGAGCACGGCUGAUAUAUCAGUUUUACACUCUGCAGAGGUUGCACAUCUUUGCCCACAAGUCGUGUAAAAGUUCAAAAGAGCUUUAGACCCAAUCAUGCUGUGCUGAUCAGGCACAAUACUACACUUCCGAGGUGUGAUUGCAUAGGAACGCUACAAGGCCUUUAUAAAGAUUCUCAAGUAAGUGGUAACCCGCUAAGGUUUUCGGAUCAGUAGUGUGCAUAAACCCCUCUCAGGACUGCGAAGCUUCCAUAAAGCAGAUCAGUCUAAGGGGCGGGUUAUACACCAUCAACCGCCACCCCUUUUACCCUUUCGGUAAGAUUACCCCGGAUUAGAGUCUCUAAUUAAUUAGCUAAGAUAAGAGCCACGAUAGUUCUCGUGGUUGUACUGUUUUUCUGGGUGGUUCUCCAUGUUCCGAUUAAAUCAAGUGAUCUUGUAUUAAUACGCGUAUAGCAUAAAUAAAAGUCAUGAUUAAUAUUUAAGUUCAUUAAGAUCAUCAUAACCAAGUAUAGCAGCUAAGCAUAGCUACCCAACAGAAUCAUAAACCUAGGUUGACAAGGAAUGAUUAUAAAAAUUAGGCAAACCUUAAUAGGACCCAUCAAAUUAAAUGCAGGCAUAUGCAAUAGUGAUUAAUAAAGUUAUUGGGACAAAAGCACAAGAACACACUUACUUUUCUCCAACGACAAGUUACUCUUAUUGCUCUUCGGUUCUUGCUCUCUUGAAACUCUUACUCUUCAAAGCUUCUGAACAACGAUCCUUCUACUCUAAGCAAACAUCGGCAACAAACAAACAAGUACAACUUAAAACAAUAAAAAAAAGACUUUAAAAAAGCGUACUAAAGGACAAGGCUUGAUCUAAGGGAGCGCUAAGAACGAAACUAUCGAGACGCUUGAUUCAUAAAAGAAAUAAAGACUAUAUGUUUGUUUCAUGUUAAUUAAAUAAAAUAUGCACAUAGGUUAUUUUAGAGAAAUACCCUAUUUGGAAUUAAGCAAGUUACAUUCAAUUAUUAAAAAUACGGUAAACUUAAUUAUAUUUUAUUUUAAAAUAUUCAAGUACGAGUUAUGUCAAUUUAACAAUUAACUUUAAAAAGAGUAUAAGACAUCCAAUCCAAUAACUUUGUAUUUCGUGUUAAACAAGAUUAUUGAAAACACGGUAAACUUGAUUAUAUUUUAUUUAUAAAUAUUCAAACGCGAAAGGUACGGGCUAAACAAGAUUAUAGGGACCUAAACGCGAUUAAUCGUAGACUACAAGGGUUAGCAAGAAAGAUUACCAAGACACAAAGAAUAGAGCCGCGAAAAGCUGAAAACUCGGGGUUAGAUCUGCAAAAGGUCAAGGCUUGGAUUAGAUUGCAAGGAUCUGGAAAGUUUGAGGUUUAUUCUGUGAAACUGCAAGACACAAGAAGGAGCAUAAGAAUUACAGGAUUUUCAUGGGCUUCUUCGCAAAACGGAGCCUUAUCUUCUUCUUCCAGCUCCUGCUCGCUCCGCUCGUGUGGCCGAUCAGAUUAUCGGCGGCGGUUGCUGGCCGGGCCAAGGGGGCAGGGCGCGCGCGGCUGCGGCGGCGGUGGCGCGCCGGCGCAGCAGGCGGCCAGGAAAGCAGCGCAGGCAGCGGCUCGGCGCAGGGGCAACACAGGCGGCGGCGGGCGCGGUUAAGCAGAGGCGAGAAAAGGCGGCGGCGGCGAUUUGAGAGGCGGCGGCGCUUGGUGGGGCGAGGAGGCGGAAAAGGGUGGGGAAAGGGGCUCUGGUGGCGGCGGGGCGUUUUAUAGGGGCGGAGGAGGGAGCUGAGGCGGCGGCCGGCCAUAAAUGGCGGCGAUUUGGUGCGGGCGGCCGUUUCUGAUGGGGAGAGGAAACGAGGGGGCGAGGCGGCGCGUGCGCGGGGGAAGGGGAGCGGGUGCGGGACGUGGAGCAGCGCGGGAGAUGGAGCGGUGCAGAGGACGCCGGGGAGGAGCCGCGACGCGGCGGCGGCCGGUAGAGAUCGAGCAGCAGGAGCGGUCGGAUGAGCGCCUGGCCUGAGGAAGAAGAAAAACCUGCAGGUGGGGCCCACCUGGCAGUGGAAGGGAGAGAGGAGGAGAGAUGGCGGGCCAAGCUGGGCCGGAAGCUGGGCCACGGGGGAGAAAGAUGGGAGUUGGGCCGGUGCAGGGUGGAAAGAGGGAAAGGGAGGUGGGCCUGUGGGAAAGGCCAGAUGGGCCGGGCGAACGGAAAAUAAAAGUGGACCGCGGUCUGGUUGGGCCGAUUUGGGUCGGGCCCAAGGCUCGGCCCAAAAGGAAAAGAAAAGAUAGAUUAUUUUCAGAAAUUAUUUCACGUGGGAAUAUAUAUCCAGAAAAUUCUAGAUAAAUAAUUUAAACCACGAAAAAUAUUCUGAAAAUCCCAAAAAUUUAAGAAAAAAUCCCAUGAGGAAUGUAAAUAAAAUAUUUGGAGCUCAUGAAAAAGGAUUUUAGAACUAUCCCAAAAUUGGAUUAAGCUCAAGAAAAAAAGAGAAUAAAUUCCAGUAAUGGCUGAAAAAUUCUCAGAAGGGUUUAGACAAUGUCUAAAUGCAUUUUUGAAACUUUUUUACUCAAGAAACAUCAAGAUGCAACGGCAUGAAUGCACAGAUAGAAAACAACAACCUUAUUUAAUUCCAAAAACAAAUAAUUAUUUUUCCUAUACUAAAUUUCCUAUGAAGAAAAUAAAUAUUAGGAAAAAUUUAAUUAUAAAAAAUUAUUGUUUAAUUAUUUCUUUUUAAUCAUAUUCUAAAAUUCAAAAAUUUCAAAGGUAUGACAUCUAAGUACUCUAAUGAAACCAGUUUAGAAAAUACAGUUCAGUAACCUGCUCUUAUGAAGACUGCAUAUGAAAAAAAUAGUACCUUCCGAGGGUUACACCUACAUAACAUCAGUGAGAGAUACUUAGCUUCUAGCAUACACAUGUUCAGAAGCAGUUCUUUGCAGGCCAAUAAGGCAUCCAUUAAAAUACUUAGCACCAUGCAUUGCUUUGUGUCAGGUUGUCCCGGUACAAAAUAGAAAAAAAUAUUUUUCAUUUAGCAAACAUGUCAGAGAAGCAAAAUUCAGAAAUGAUGUGCAGUGUCACCAACAGGUCAAAAAAGUAAGGACAAUCUAUAAUUGUGGUCAUGAAAUUAUGCAUCAUCCGCGAACACAAAAGCCAGUCAUCAACUAUUUACAUGGUAACCCUGAAUUAUUUAGAUUUACUUCCUACAUGCAUAAAAAUAAACCUCUCAUGAUUUCGUUGGACAUCACAUAUCAAAAGGGAGAAAAAUGAAACCUAAGACAAUUGAAUCAUAAUGAUUUUUUUCUAUGUGGAAGUAGAUAAUUUCCUUAUCUUUCAGACAGCCACUCCAGAAACUAAUCAUACAAUCAAAUUUAGUUAGAAAUUUAGAGCAUGCUAGCACAGAACAAUAGGAGCUAUGAAUUUACACAUGCUAGCUGUAGAUUGUCUAGAAAAAUCGAAAACCAAAUACUUGAUGCCAGCAGAUCUAAAGAAUCAUUGUGUUUUAGGAACACCCACCGAUCGGAGCAGGCAACAACGGAGCUGCCUUGGGGCCGCCAUCGACUUGGAGCUCCUUGUUGAGCCGCACAGAGAAGGAGCGGCAGCGGCGUCAUCGUGGGGGUGUGUUGAGCGCAGGGAAGGGCCAAUUUUGAUUCUGGGUAGGAUGACGUACAAACGUAGGGCAAAGCGGAUGGGAGGGAGCAAUUUUCCCGUGCGUGGAGAGAAGACUGAUUGAUCCAAGGGUGGAGGCUGUGUUCCGCAUAGAGAACCGUGAAAUGGAGGGCCGAGGUUGCUUGGAGCGAGGGCCAUCGGGCGACGACGGUCAUUUGACGGACCAUAGAAACGUUGCCCGUUUGGUUUUUUAGGAGUAGAGAAAAUUCGAAGUUAUUCUUACAAAUUGUACCUAAAAGUUGUACACCUAAUUUUUGUGCGCUAUUGAAGUUGUGCUAAAAAGUUAUCUCAUAAAAAAUUAUAUUAUAGAGUUAUGCAUCGUAUUUAUAUGUAUAAGUUAUGAUUUCCACAAAUGGAAAGUUGUGGGAUUUAAAACUUUCCCAAAAUGGAAUGUUUGGGGGGAAGGAAGGAGCUGUCUAGAUUCGCUCGCCAGGAGGGCUCCUAGUGCGCGAGCGCUAAUUAGCACUGCGCGCCUAUCAGCAUGUUAUUUUUUAAACAAACUGGGCAGGAGAGCUGCCGAUUAUAUUAAAAAGAAGAUGAAACCCGGGCAAUACAACUAAUGGAAAAAAAUAACGAGUUGAAUUGGGACAUCAACACACGUUGAACUCAACUCAACUAACGAAACAACUCAUGCCGAUUCGAUUGAGACAUCGACACGAGUCGCAACAACUCUAACUAGUCAGAUUGGGAUAUCAACACAGGCCGCACAACGUCAUCACACCACUCAACUCAAACUUAGCACCACCACCACCACCACCACCAAGAACUCUUCCGCAUUCUUGGAGAUCCAGCCCCACUUCCAACUCUUCUGCAUGUUCUUCUGUGUCAAGCCGUAGCCUAAGAGGGAGCACACAGUAGUCGGAGGGGUUGGAAUCCAAAUGAGGGAGAAGGUGAAGGGCCUCUAUUUGGAGUACGAGUUGAUUGACUCGCAUUCUGGGUGGAAAGAGAGGUGGUGCUAUAUUGGCAACUAUGAGCCCAAACUCCCUAAGGUGACAGGCCACCGCCCGACGUGGAACAAUAGGUGGCUAGAUGUGCCAAGUCACAGAGAUUAUUUGCAACUACCUGACCUUCUUGAUAGAAUUGCCAGAUUGAAACAAUAAGGUCUAACGAGAGUUGGGGUAGCCUUCAGCUUCAUAAAGAGGCGAGGUAAGCCCCUGCAAUUGCGGUGCACAUGGGGCUACGACUACUUGAGCCCCAAUGAUCCAUCCCGGAUGUCACCAAAAGAACUCACCAUGGAUGAGAUCAUGGAGCAGUUCAGGUGCUUGUUCAAGCAUGCCAGCAAGUGCCUGUUCAAGCAUGCCAACAAGACCCCAACGAUUGUGCAGGAUCAUUGCACUGCCAACCCACCAAGCAAUGUAAGUACCCGUGGCCACAGCCCUCAAGUACUAAUUGUUGUAUCUAUUGAUGUUCUGACUUGUCUUCCUAUGCAGGAAGAUGUACACUUGUUUUGCUCUGCUCCUCCUCCUCCUGGAUCAAAUGACUCUGAUGCCGCUCCACACGUACACACGGCUACAAGUGUAUAGAGAGAAGUCGAGGGGGAGUAAAAGGAAAUUGAGUCUUUCAGCAGCUCCUACUCUGAAGCUACUAAAGAAUUCAUGCUCAAAGCCCGGCCAUUAGACAAGGCUGGGUCUUCCUCCGGGUCACCAAAGCAUGCGGCUGAUGAUCUGGAGGCUAGACUGGCGGCACCGCCAAAGCGACGCUCUGCUCUUGCAGUGUUUCUUGCUCGCCGUUGAGUUUUUUGAGCUUCAGUUUCUUUUCCGACGAUGUUGAUGGUGAGCUUAUCCUACGAGAUGUCAUCUCGGUGACGUUCAUGUCAUGGAUUCCUUUCUUGUUGCUCUUCAUCUUCUCCUUCUUGCGCAUCAACAAGGGUGAAGAGUUCCCGCUCCGGAGAAUAGCUUCCUGAACUUAACGUGAUGACCUCUGUGGAGCCAUCUUUUUUGUAGAUGGGAGACAAAAGAAGUUCCCUUCUAGUACAGGAGGGUAUCAAGGUAGGCAACAAGGUGUGACUCGUCAUUCUUUGCGAGAGCAGGUGGCUUCAUGUUGGCCCAGUAGAUGAAUCUGUCUUGUGGAGUUGAGGUAAUCACAAGGCCUUGUUGUGGGUCUGAUAAUGGAGUCCUCUCAUCCGGAUUCGAGUAGCAGUAAAGGUCCUCGAUCCAAUCCAUGUUGAAUUGUGAUCUGGAUAGGGUAGCUUGAUAGACAAUACCCGUGUUUCGGAGUCCGAACGCGAAUCGACUUGAGUCAUAGACCGAUUCGCAUGAUGGCUUAAGCGCCGGCUCAUGAAAACCAGUCCGGCUAGUGGGAGAAGUUGAGCUGUACUCGGACUAGUCCCCCCAGCCUCUGACUAAGUCAAGAAUUGAAAAUUCGCUGAAUUUCUCGACGAGAUCCUCCAAAGCUUGGCGCUGGAGGUUGAUGGUAUGCUGUUUCUUCUCUACGACCGACACAAUGUGGCGGUGGAAGUUUCCAACACCAUCUGCAACGCAAACCCAGGAGCUGAAGACGAACGUCGCGUCUGCUUUGAACGCGAUGGUGGACUUGAUGAUGACUUGGGCCAUCGAGUUCGUUAGUGGAUUCUCAGCGAGAGCCCUUAUUUCGUGUGCCAGCUAUCGGUGUUUAGACUCGGUAACCUACCGAGGGGGGUGCCUGAGGUGGUGUUUAGUGCGUGGGGCUCACCCAGAUCAGGAACUGGAAGGUGAACUUGAACACAUAAUUUAGACAGGUUCGGGCCGCUAGAUUGCGUAAUACCCUACGUCCUAUGUGUUAGUUGUAUUGAAUUGCUUUGGAGGGGGUCUCCACCUCACCUUAUAUUGCUAGGGGCAGGGCUACAGGUCGUUUGUUUACAAGAAUACUAGUCGGAUUUGACUAGUGAGUCCUACUCUAAUUGCUACAUGUAGUUACUUAAUCCUUGACUAGUUCUUGUCCUCCACGUAGACCACGCUGUUCUGCACCGUAGUCUCCAUGUCUGACACGUCUUGGUGUAUAGCCCUGUAUCUAGGACUGUCCAAACCUUCUAGUGGGCACAUAGAUAUAUGUACAACAAGCACAGUGAAGAUCUAACGAACGCCCACCCGGGAAGGACCCCGUCAGAGUAGGCGCACCUUGGGUUGCCCUAGGCUCGGCAAGAACAACACAUGGGGUUGGAAAAGUAGGGCAAAGAGGAAAAAAGGUAAAAGUAAAAGAUAGAUUAGUUUUUGAUCAGUUGUGGCCCUUUAUAUUUAUAGUGAGGGGAGGUCUUGCCCCGUUGGAAGUCGAAACCCUAACAAAUCUCAUGCAAAAAUACAACUCCUACUCGGACUCUACAGGUCCAAACCGGUCCGACCUAUCUCCUCGGGGGCAGAUAUUCCCGAGGUCAUAACCCUCUCUUCCGAACUUCAAAUUGGACGUUCUAUAUAUGAAUUUUGAUCUACUCAACAAGAGAUACACAAUGGUGAACUCCAAUUUGUAUUUGUAGGACUUUGAUCAAACUGGUCUGACCGAUUGGAAGACCGGUUCAAAAACCUACUUGUCCAGAUCUGCUAAUUUUGACCAUCAAUAGGUAAUAAUUAAGAAAAUAUCAUUGAGGUAAGAAUUAAGAAAAUAUCAUUUCCCUUCUCUCAAAUUUCAUUUUAUUUGUGUGCAUGUGUUACUAAUUUUGUGUGUGUUAUUUCACUACUAUGGAAUGGACCUUUCGUCCACUCCCUUAGUACCGGGUGCAUUUGAAUCCGGUACUAAUAUUAGCAUUAGUACCGGCUCCAAAUUUGGAAUCCCCCGAACCCUCCACCCAGUACUAAAGGUUUCCAUCUACGCGCCUAGCCCCCUUAGUGCCUGUCCUUAUCCUCAGCUCCCUCCGCUCCGCUUCCCUCAUCCUCAUCUUUUCUCCUUCUACUCCCUCUCCCUCUCCAGGCCACUAGCCCCCUCCCUCCCUCCCCUCUCCUCCCCCCUCCACUCGCCCCUUACCUCGUGCCUGAGGCGAGGAGCAGCGGUAGGGUGAGGCGCAGCGGUGGCCAUCGGGGCGCGGCAGGGAGCGGCGACGAGGUGAGACGCGGCGGCAGAGCGGGCACGGAGCAGCUGGCGGGCGGGAGCGCAGCGGUGGCGGAGCGGCGGGUGGGUGGCCAGGGGUAGCGGGGCUGGCGGAGGGCGGCAACGGCGGGACAGGCGGAGGGCAGGGGCGGGUGGGGGGUGCGGGCGGGAAUUUAUUUUUUUUUAAUUUUUUAAUACCCUUUAAUACCGGUUAUCUCAACCGGUACUAAAAGUCCCACUUUAGUAUCGAAUUGCCAGUACCGGUUGGACAAUCGGUACUAGAGGGGUUAUCGACCGGUACCAGAGGUGUUAUCCCUAGUAGUGUUCUUAUAUAUUUGAAAACGGAUGCCGAUUACUGCCGUGCUUUGGUCUGCCAACUAGGCAUUCUUAAUAGUCAACAGGAUUAUUCUGUUUCGUGUGUAGGGGAACUAGCAUCCUAACAACCGUUGGUGGCUUACGGCUUUGGCUUGGCUGUCAAUCAAGCGCCGCUUGGGUCACGACAAUGGCAGUAAGGUCGUGGUGUCUACCAAGUAAAACUACGUAUACAUUCCCUCCGUUCUAGUGCAGAUGUGGGCGUACACAAUAUUAGGCUAUACUGGUGUUAAAAAAGACCAGUAUAAACAUAUCCAAUGAUCGAGAUUAAUUGUAUACUACUAAAAACUUCACUAGUGGUAUGGAUAGUAUGCGUGAGUAGUAUAUGUGGUAUAAGGGUAUUAUGGAAAAAGAAAUAUAAAUGGCAUAUACAUAAUAUAUUUUUCUUGUUCUUUGAGAUGGUAAUAUAUCUCUCAUUUAGUAAUAAUUCGUAUGGUCCAUCAAUAUUUAGUAAUAACUAUAUUAGCAUUUGCCUAUACCAUAUACUACUGAGUGGUAGUAUUGUGUACCGUAAAAAACUUAUUUUUGAACAUUCUUGUCACAGGACGUUUUAAUUGACUUCAAGCAUGAUGUCCUCCAUCGACCAUCAUGUCCUAUUCUUUGCUCCGAGUCGUGUAGUUGUGCUUUUAAGAAAAAGGUGCUUGUGUGUUUUGCUUUUCGCGGUCUAAAAGUUUAGAUAGAUAUUUUGUACCGUAGUUGCUCAUCACUCCAAUUAUGUACACUUCUUCGCGCGUUAUUUCAUUUUCAAUCUUGGAGUCGCCGCUGCCGACCUAGAGAAUGGACUAGGGUGGCUGGCCUAAGGGUUUGGAUUCGAGAUGCUAAACUUUAGCAGGGUCACAUCGGAUGUUCGGACGCUAAUAAGAAGGACUAAAUAUGAGCUAAUUAUAAAACUAAUUGCAGAACCAUGUGCUAAUUCGCGAGAUGAAUCUAUUAAGCCUAAUUAUGGAUUAAUUAGGCUUAAUAGAUUCGUCUCACGAAUUAGACUCCAUCUGUGCAAUUAGUUUUGUAAUUAAACUAUAUUUAAUACUUCUCAUUAGUAUUCAAACAUACGAUGUGACACGUGCUAAAGUUUAAGGGGUUCACCCCCUUAAUCCCACCCUGCUGGGAUCAGCCUCCAUGGGGGCGACAGAUGCCACUGCCUAGGCAUGGCGGUGGCUGUUGCUGUAUCCCAGCGUUUGCAGGUAUACCGUAUCCCUGACAACAGGUGUGCGCAUGCAGAUUGGCCUUUCGGAUCUAUGGAGUGCUAAUAUGUGUUGCUUGAUGGUGUUGUGUCGAGGUGGGUUUGGGAUGUGCGCAUGCCGGGCCAACGAUGAUGACGUCUGUUGGUGCCACAUCCCUCUCUGGACAAUUAGACAGCCCCGACCCCUUCCCCUACCACCUGUGUUAUCAGUUCUUGCAGGUGUAAACCUUAUCUUUUGUUGAUUAGGUGAUGGCCGAGCCCAUGGCGUCGUGUCCCUCCCUCGCGGUGACACUUUGAAAGAACUCGUGCUUCAUCACAACGUACUGCUAAUUCCAUGGUUUAAGAGAAGGGCAGCAACUACUCAAGGGAAUGCAUGUCAGAUCAACAUGUCAUUUGAGUCGGAUGUUGUUAGGGAUUACGAGUCAUAUGCUGUUGAUUGGUUGGCAAAGACCAUGUGGUCUUCAGAUAUUUGUGAGAUGCUUUAGAUGCACUGUUCGCCACCUUUCUUUCGUAUGAGGAUGAUGGAGUUUUGGGGAUUUUGUGGUGUAAGAGAAUAGGAGUGACUACGUUAAGCUCUUCCUCCAUAUAUGGAUUGUAGGUUGCUAGGUAAUUUUGAGACGUAUGUUGAAUUUAAGAUCUUUUAUUGUUUAUCACUUACUGGAUCACUUUCUUCUUUCUCUCUUAUAUUUCCUUUUGACAAGGUUGUGUGUACUCCUGUUGGGGGAAAAUAUUAACAACCUCCUAAUGCCGCUUAAAGCGACAGUCAUGAAGGCCCAGGCCCACCUGCGGUAAUUACGAUUACAGCCGACCUAGUAAAGGCAAAGAACGUCCCACUCCGUCUCACCCGACCUAGGGCCUCGGGGUCGGACAAUCCCGACCCCUCGAAGGAGGGACUCUGCCUCGCCCGACCGUGGUCCCAGGGUCGGGAGCGCCCAACCCCUCGCCGCAAGGCUCCGCCUCGCCCGACCGCGGUCCUAGGGUCGGGAGCGCCCGACCCCUCGCCGCAAGGUUCCGCCUCGCCCGACCCAGAGAACCGGGGUCGGGAGCGCCCGACCCCCACCACAGAAACCCCGUCUCGUUCGACCCCGGGCACGGGGGUCGAACUCACUCGGGUCCACAAGACGGAUAUUUGCCUCGGGCCACUGGAGGAUCAGGAUAACGAUCUCGUGGGUCCCCCUAUCGACCUCGCCAUAAAUGCGUCGCGGGCCUGUCAAGCCAAAAGGGAGCGGCGUCCCCGACGUAACCAGUCCCGAAUACCGGUGCGUGGCGCAAAGUACUCAUGAGCUGCGCCGAACAACACAGGGGGGCGCAUCGCUUGCUCUCGCGCCCCGUGCUCCCAACGGCAGUGUCAGGGAUGCGACGUCCGGGUCUUACGGUAAUCGGUGGGGCAACAGAACCGGACCUCCUCCUCGGCGGGCACGGAUGCCGAGGCUGAGGCUCAUCAUCACGCUCGACGGCGACGGCGACCAGGGAGAUCAUCGACAAGAUCCGGAAGGAAUCGCCCUCCCUCGCCGGACGCGCUGACAGGGACCGGAUGCCGGAGCAAGAGCGGCGGCCUUGGGGCCCUCCCCUUGUAUUAUUUUUCUACUUAGCUUAUCCUUCCUGCUUCUUCUCCUGAGGUCCAGCUCAACUGUAACCCCGAGCUCCCUCUUGCGCUAUAAAAAGAGGACCGGGGGUCCUGAGACGGGGACGGAAACUCUGGCUCGGAAGCCAACAAUACACUCUCACACUCCCUUAGAGCACAAGCACACUCAAGAGACCUGGGAUCAGUUCCUUCUCUCGCCCUUCUGUAACCCCUACUAUAGAACCCCGCGUGGGUAACACGAGCAGCCUCGAUACUGGACGUAGGGCCUUCCUUUGCCCGAACCAGUCUAACCCCGUGUCUCCCACGCCACCAUCCGAAGCCUUACGCGCAUAAAAGAAAUUUACUAGUCUAGAGUCUUGAUCCGCAAAUCUUGACAACGACAACUACCUUGUUACAUAGGCUGGAAUCUAAGCUUUCUUCAUCCAAAAGAAGAUUAUAUAAAACAACCAGAAGGAGGGGGGGGGGAUUUUGACUGGUAAGGGAUGUUUUGCAGGAGGAUGUGCACCUCAACAUGAGUAACAUAGAAUCUGUGGGUACACUUUUAGCAACAUACCUUCAAACCACAUUCUAUGCAACAAUAAUCUUGUGCAAACCAUAUAUAGCUAUGCCCACCAUUUAUAGAACAAUGCUCAAUAGACUACAAUAUGCAUAUGAACGUGCACGGUGCACUACCGGAAUGUCUAAGUUUGUCGUGUGUCCAUGGCACACGGUGAAGCAAAAAAAAAACACUUGGCAAAGCUUUUGCCGAGUGGGCGUACACAGUGCCGGUAAAAAUGUUUUGGCCGAGUGCUAAAACCGACACUCGGCAAACAAAAAAAGCAAUGUGACGGUGCGAAGACGGUCACAUCACGAUUGCUGAGCGUCUAACGGUAUGUCCACGGAAAAACAAUCCUCGGCAAACAUGAGUCAUUUUAGACUUUAGGCACAAUUUCCUAAAGGAACACCAGAAAUUUCACAGAAAUUUUCACAUUAGCUAUGUAGAUAAUAGCAAAGUUCUUGCAAGGUGACCAUACUUGCAAGGUAUGCUCGCACGUGUUCAAAUUUGUUGUAAAUCUGCAGUUCUGUCCGAACAUAUAAUGACCUGAACAGCAAAAAGAUUUGCCUCGACAGCACCAGGGGAGGUGGGAGCUCACUGUUUACCGCUUUCUGUCCUCCCUUGCAAUCAACUCCUAUAGUGUCCAAAGACUUGACCAAGUCCAAGUCCACGCGGUCCAGGCAAGCCCACUGGCCACCGGGAAACUCGACCCCACAGCACGAGUUGGAGGCCCCACGCGGGAAAGGAAUCCUAAGCGAUGCAAUCAUCCAUAUGUGGGUCCCUCAGACAUGAUUUUUUGGCUGUGAACACUGCACAGCAACUCGCGAGAAUUUUGCCCUCAGCCUUUUUUAUCUGUAGGUUUUGGGAGCACAGAGAGAAGGAAAAAUUGGGUUAAGAUGGAGUUGUUAUUGGGAUAUGCGGAAAAGUAGGUAACGAAGUUGGACAACUGUUGGAGCUUUGGUUUUUCACCUUGGUUACCAAAAACUAGUCAUUGAAAUCAUAUAUCGGGCACUCUUAAAAAUACUCUAACUGAUGAUCUAGUACAUAUAUUUUGAACAUUAUUUUUUAAAACCUUAUAGCAACUCAAAACCUCUUUUAAUUUUUUCUACUAUCAUAAUCGUCUUAAUCUUGGUCUACUUAAAUGUUUAGACUACUUAACCUGCAAUAACGUUUCUUAUCUAGAAGAGACUAUUUGCCCAACAACUAACCGUCGUAUUCCCUCGUAAAUAGCCAUAGGGCCCAAGCUAUAUGAUCACCACCUAAACCAAUUAUUGUCUCGACCACCUAAACCAAUUAUUAUCUUUCCAACUAGCAUUUCGCUUGCGUAAAUGGAAUCCCCAUCUGCGACUGUGAGGCCCUGAGAAUUGAAGCGCCCUUCCUCUCUGACACCACCACAAGCUAGCAGAGCGGUAGAGCCAGCAGCUUCCCAGUCGAGAUGGCCGAACUGAUGGCGAGCGCCGCCACGAGCAUGAUGGGGUCCGUCAUCGGCAAGCUGACUGCCAUGCUCGGCGAGAAGUACCAGCUCGCCAGAGACGUGGAGCAAGGGAUCCGCUUCCUGAAGGAUGAGCUGAGCAGCAUGGAUGCCGUGCUGCAGAAGCUCGCAGACAAGGACGACGACCAAAUGGAUCCAAUGGAUAAAGAUUGGAGGAACAAGGUGCGUGAGCUAUCCUUCGAUAUUGAGGAUUGCGUCGAUCGCUUCAUGCUCAAUCACAGCCAUGGAGGUUCCAAGGCUAACUUUGUUCGCAAAGCCGUGCGUAAGGUGAAGAUGUUGUGGGAGGACCAGGGCAUAGCAGGGGAGAUCCAAAAACUCAAGAUACUCGUGACAGAGCAUAGUGACCGGGCCAAACGCUACCGUGCGCUUGGACCCUCGCCGCCUCACUAUCUCGCCGCCUCACCUCAGCCGGUGCGCUUGGAUCCUCGAGCAACUGCCCUCUUUCAGGAGGCGAGGGAUCCUGUGGGAAUUGAUGGUCCUCGCGAGGAAAUCAUCCAGUUAUUACAAGUUGAAGAAAAUCAACACAAGGUGGUGUCUAUCUAUGGUACCGCUGGGCAGGGGAAGACUACUCUAGCCAUGGAGGUAUACCGAAAAAUCACACAAACACAAGCAUUUGAUUGCAGGGCUUUCGUGUCUGUAUCUCAGACUCUGGAUAUGAAGAAUCUACUCAGAGAUAUAUUGUCUCAAAUAGUAAGCAAGAACGAGUUUGACCAGUUGCAGUCGGAAAAUUGGGAGACGCUGCAAAUUGAGAUACGCAAAAUGAGAGGCUACUUAAUUGGCAAGAGGUAACCAGAAUUACUUUCUUGUACUAUAAUAAUUAGCCAGUUCAUCUAGCUAUGGCAAUGUUGUGAGGUCUUUGUCGAUCACAUGAGCUCACCUAAUUUAUCGGCCAUUUUACGGUUGUAUUUUACGGACCCAUUCGAGCAUAAAACUACCACAUAUGCAUUUGUUAUAGCUAAAACCAUGACUUCAGCUGUUCAACAUAUCUACCAAAAGCCACAUAUCUUACAACAAGGUCAAGUCAGCUGCUCAUGAAUGUAGGCGUAUGUGGUUGGAGUUGGCCUGUACUAUACUAUAUAAAAUGAUUGUGUGCGAAUGAUAUUUGAGUAGAAAAUUAUUUACUCUAUACCAUCAAAUAAUUUCAGAUUCAAUAAAAUUAUUUCUUGAUAGCUUCAACCAUGUUUGUUUCGUAUAGCCAUUCUAAAUAUCCAUAAAAAUCUUCUUUAAAAAUUAAGUUUUCAAACUGAACGCUUCUUGUGUUUCAGUGGGUCUCAUGUGGAGGAAGCUACUAUUUUGGAGGUUGUAGACAGAUUCUUUUCCGAUAGUAGAGGAAGUAGUUUCCAGCCUCUAUUCCUAGCACGUGUAAUACGAACUGACAGAAAAAAUAAGCCACCACUAUCCAUCGCUUUACUUUUCUCCAAUAUCUUUCACCAUGAUAUGCUCUAUAUGUUGAAUAGUUAUGGUGGCCUUGUAACAUGAUUCCUCAACCAAUGCAUGCAGGUACUUCAUCUUGAUUGAUGAUAUCUGGAAUGUAUCAGAUUGGGAGCUUGUACAAGCUGCCUUACCUCGCAAUGACAACGGAAGCAGAAUAAUUACUACAACUCGCAGUAAAACAGUAGCCGAAACAUGUGCUGGUAUUGAUGCACAAAUGUACAAAGCAAAGCCACUUGGUGAUGACGAAUCUCGCAGAUUAUUCUUUAAAAGGCUAUUUCACUCAACUGAACAUUGUCCCCAAGAUUUGAUGGCAGUAUCCAGUGAUAUUUUGAGGAAAUGUGGGGGAUUACCAUUAGCCAUAAUCAGUAUAGCUGGUUUAUUAGCCAACAGAAGCAAAACCAAGGAAGUCUGGGUCAAUGCAUUGAAGUAUAUUUCUGCUGCAGUUGACAGAGAUUCUCACAUUGAUAAAAUGAAAAGAAUUUUUCUGCUUAGUUACUUUGACCUUCCUCUUCAUCUAAAGAGCUGUAUGUUAUAUCUGAGCGUGUUCCCGGAGGAUUAUGUGAUUGAUUGUAGACGGUUGAUAUUGUUAUGGGUAGCUGAAGGACUGAUUCCUGGACAAAGCAGAGAAAAUAUGGAGCAGCUUGGGAGGAGUUACUUGAAUGAGCUGAUCAAUAGAAGCUUGGUCCAGCCAACCAAGGUUGGGGCAGAUGGCGCAACAGUGAAACAGUGCAGAGUUCAUGAUGUCAUACUUGAGUUUAUUGUAUCAAAGGCUGUGGAGGACAAUUUUGUUACUAUAUGGAAUGGUAAUGGAUUUUCUGUAAAUUAUUCUUCUAACAAGAUUCGCCGUUUAUCUAUCCAAUAUGGUAUUUCUAUGCGGGCUGAAGAGAUGGUGAAGAUAAAAGAACAGGCAGCUCAUAUUCGAUCAAUUAAUAUUUUUGACCCUAAUUCAGUGCUGCUAAUUAAAAACACCUCUAUGUUUUUAAGUAGCCAAGUCUUGCGAGUGCUGAAUACACAAAGUCUGGAGGAUUGCUAUCUUGGACAUGUCAAAAGUUUUGGUCAAAUCAAGUACUUGGGGUCAUCAAUAUGCCACUGCAAACUCCCAAAAGAUAUAGAAAAGCUGCAACAUCUAGAGACACUAGAUGUUACGUGGUGUAACAUUAAAAAACUACCGGCUAGCAUUACCCAACUGCAGAGAUUAGUGCGUCUUCGUGUCGAUGGUCACAUAAAACUACCUGAUGGGAUUGGAAAUCUGCAGGCAUUGGAAGAGCUAUCAUAUAUCGGAUUGGGUUAUCAAACUAUCAAGUUUAUCCAAGGGCUCGGCGAUCUGACCAAUCUGAAGGUACUUGGAAUUCAUUGGGAGUACCCUUAUGCAGUCGCGGGACGUCACGUGGACGUGGAAGGCCGCAAGGAAGCAUGUAUCUCGUCACUCUCCAAGCUUGUCACAACACUUCGAGAACUGCGCAUCAUGCCAAUACUUGAAUAUUUCAUAAGUUCACAAUACUUCUUUCCCAAACGUGAAGGACCAAGUGUCGUGCCCUAUCAAAUCAUUCAAAUCAUCAGCUCGCUAGUCAACCUGACCCGCCUCAGUAUUGGACUAGUAAGCCAGGAAGGGAUAAAUAUCGUAGCAAGUUUGCCCAUGCUCCUCUCUAUUACUGUUCGCUUUUCCUUUGAAGAGGGUAAUUCUGGAAUCAGGUAUACAAUCAGCAGUCAAGGAUUCCAGCGUUUAGUCAAGUUUAAUUUCUCCUGUUAUUAUGAGGGGGCGGAGUUUGAGCCAGAAGCCAUGCCAAAGCUCCAAAGGCUCAAGCUGUACCUGGCGGCACGGGAUCAGUUCAAUUAUGAGCAAGGCGGCCUGGUCCUUGGGCUGCAGAAUCUGGCAGGCCUCAAACAUGUUGCUCUUAGUAUUAACUGUGAGUAUGCUACUCCUGACGAGGUGCAGGAUUUGGAGGAUGACAUCAGGGUUGCAGCAGGCGCCCAUCCCAACCGUCCCGUGGUCCAGCUGGUCGAAAAAGUACGUCAAGAUUGUAUGGCUCAAGGGUGCAGCAGGCGCCCACGCGACCAUCCCAUGCUAGAAGCACAAUGACCAAGUAAAUGCACGGUGUGGAGAAUAAAUAUCAUUAUCAAUGAUGAUCUUUUUUUCUGUUUCAAGAGCACGUUGGAAUUAAACAAGGUUAAUUCGAUUUGUUUUCAUCUUAGUUUUUGCUUUAUGACAACAUGUGUGCAUGUAGAUUGGCCUCUCGGAUCUAUGGAGUGCUGAUAUGUGUUGCUUGAUAUGAUGGUGUUGUGUCGAGGUGGGUUUAGGAUGUGUGCUCCGAGUGAAGGCAUUUGCCCUUCGCCGGGCCAACGAUGCUGACGCCUGUUGGUGCCACAUCCCUCUCUAUUGACUACGAAGGAGUGAUUACGUUAAGCUCUUCCUUCAUAUAUGGAUUGUAGGUUACUAUGUAAUUUUGAGACGUAUGUUGAGUUUAAGAUCUUAUGUUGUUUAUCACUUACUGGAUCUCUUUCUUCUUUUUUUCUUUUAUAUUUCUUUUUGACAAGGUUGUGUGUUGUUGCAUAGGCGGCUGGAAUCUAAGCUUUCUUUAUCCAAAAGAAGAUUAUAUAAAA